rnacentral:misc_RNA from 1 species
AACGCACGAGACCUGCGGACCUGCGGAGGGAUCAUCGCAGAAACACACACAAACAGGGGGGGGGCGCACGCGUGUGCUCCUCUCCCUGAACAAACAAACACACAGGACUAGGAAAGCAAAGCAGCAGCGAGCGGGGGCCGGCUGUGGUUUGGCGGGCCGGCCCGGCUUGGCUUGGAUCCAAAAGUUCUUGUCUGAUAAAGUCGCUUGUUGGUUUGGUGAUUGCAAAACAAUACAAUACAA